GAUGAACGCUGGCGGCGUGCCUAAUACAUGCAAGUCGAGCGAACAGACGAGAGCUUGCUCCUCUGACGUUAGCGGCGGCCGGGUGAGUACCCCGUGGUUAACCUACCUAUACGACUGGGUUAACUUCGGGAACCCGGAGCUAAUCCCGGAUAAUAUAUUUACCCGCAUGGUUCAAUAGUGAAAGACGGUUUUGCUGUCACUUAUAGAUGGAUCCGCGCCGCAUUAGCUAGUUGGUAAGGUAACGGCUUACCAAGGCAACGAUGCGUAGCCGACCUGAGAGGCUGAUCGGCCACACUGGAACUGAGACACGGUCCAGACUCUUACGGGAGGCAGCAGUAGGGAAUCUUCCGCAAUGGGCGAAAGCCUGACGGAGCAACGCCGCGUGAGUGAUGAAGGUCUUCGGAUCGUAAAACUCUGUUAUUAGGGAAGAACAAAUGUGUAAGUAACUAUGCACGUCUUGACGGUACCUAAUCAGAAAGCCACGGCUAACUACGUG
rnacentral:rRNA from 1 species